GUUGCAAUGGUCGUUAUGAGUAUGGUACUUUAAUCAGAAUUCAAGUGGUGUAACUAUUCCAAUGGAUAAAAUGAUACAGAGGGGUUCCAUAAACAGGAAGUAGUAUUAUACAGUACAGGAAGUAGUAUUAUACAGUACAGAGGUUCCAUAAACAGGAAGUAGUAUUAUACAGUACAGAGAGGUUCCAUAAACAGGAAGUAUUAUUAUACAGUACAGAGAGGUUCCAUAAACAGGAAGUAGUAUUAUACAGUACAGAGAGGUUCCAUAAACAGGAAGUAGUAUUAUACAGUACAGAGAGGUUCCAUAAACAGGAAGUAGUAUUAUACAGUACAGAGGGGUUCCAUAAACAGGAAGUAGUAUUAUACAGUACAGAGAGGUUCCAUAAACAGGAAGUAGUAUUAUACAGUACAGAGAGGUUCCAUAAACAGGAAGUAGUAUUAUACCGUACAGAGAGAUUCCAUAAACAGGAAGUAGUAUUAUACAGUACAGAGAGGUUCCAUAUACAGGAAGUAGUAUUAUACAGUACAGAGGGGUUCCAUAAACAGGACGUAGUAAAAUACAGUACAGAGGGGUUCCAUAAACAGGAAGUAGUAUUAUACAGUACAGAGGGGUUCCAUAAACAGGAAGUAGUAUUAUACAGUACAGAGAGGUUCCAUAAACAGGAAGUAGUAUUAUACAGUAUAGUCUAACAUCUGAACUCUCUCACUGAGGUUUGUGCCUUUAAUGUACCAGGUAUCCCUCCCUAAACCCUCCAUAGACCCUCCAUACCCUCCAUAUACCCUUCCAUAGACCCUCCAUAGACCCUCCAUAGACCCUCCAUAGACACUACUGUAAUGUCCUCUAUCAGAAUACAUCAACCAUCCAUAGACCCUCCAUAGACCCUCCAUAGAUAUACCCUCCAUCCAUAGACCCUCCAUAGACCCUCCAUAGACCCUCCAUAGACACUACUGUAAUGUCCUCUAUCAGAAUACAUCAACCAUCCAUAGACCCUCCAUAGACCCUCCAUAUACCAUCCAUAGACCCUCCAUAGAUCCUCCAUAGACCCUCCAUAGACCCUCCAUAGACCCUCCAUAGACCCUCCAUAUACCCUCCAUAGACCCUCCAUAGACCAUCCAUAGACCCUCCAUAGACACUACUGUAACCCUCUAUCAGAAUACAUCAACCAUCCAUAGACCCUCCAUAGACCCUCCAUAGACCCUCCAUAUACCAUCCAUAGACCCUCCAUAGACCAUCCAUAUACCCUCCAUAGACCCUCCAUAGACCCUCCAUAGACCCUCCAUAUACCCUCCAUAGACCCUCCAUAGACCCUCC
ensembl:lncRNA